rnacentral:rRNA from 1 species
AGCCUGCAACUCGGCUGCAUGAAGCUGGAAUCGCUAGUAAUCGCGGAUCAGAACGCCGCGGUGAAUGCGUUCCCGGGUCUUGUACACACCGCCCGUCACACCAUGGGAGCCGGAAACGCCCGAAGCCAGCGGCCUAACCGCAAGGAGGGAGCUGUCGAAGGCGGGGCCGGUGACCGGGGUGAAGUCGUAACAAGGUAGC